rnacentral:rRNA from 1 species
CGGCAAUGGAGGAAACUCUGACCGAGCAACGCCGCGUGAAUGACGAAGUACUUCGGUAUGUAAAGUUCUUUUAUCGAGGAAGAAAAGCAAAUGGCGAACCAUUUGUUUGCCGGUACUUGAUGAAUAAGCCCCGGCUAAUUAUGUGCCAGCAGCCGCGGUAAGACAUAAGGGGCAAGUGUUAUCCGGAAUUAUUGGGCGUAAAGGGUGCGUAGGCGGUCUAGUAAGUCAGUGGUGUAAUGGCAACGCUUAACGUUGUCCGGCUAUUGAAACUGCUAAACUUGAGUUAGAUAGAGGCGAGUGGAAUUCCAUGUGUAGCGGUAAAAUGCGUAAAUAUAUGGAGGGACACCAGAGGCGUAGGCGGCUCGCUGGGUCUUAACUGACGCUGAGGCACGAAAGCGUGGGGAGCAAACAGGAUUAGAUACCCUGGUAGUCCACGCCGUAAACGAUGAGUACUAAGUGUCGGGUUAAACCGGUACUGAAGUUAACACAUUAAGUACUCCGCCUGAGUAGUACGUACGCAAGUAUGAAAGUUAAAGGAAUUGACGGGACUCCGCACAAGCGGUGGAUCAUGUUGUUUAAUUCGAAGAUACCCGAAAAACCUUACCAGGUCUUGACAUGUUUUUGCAAAAUGAUAGUAAUAUCGUGGAGGUUACCAGAAACACAGGUGGUGCAUGGUUGUCGUCAGCUCGUGUCGUGAGAUGUUAGGUUAAGUCCUAAAACGAGCGAAACCCUUAUCGUUAGUUGCCAGCACGUUAUGGUGGGGACUUUAACGAGACUGCCAAUGAUAAAUUGGAGGAAGGUGAGGAUCACGUCAAAUCAGCAUGCCCCUUAUGACCUGGGCUACAAACGUGAUACAAUGGCUGUUACAAAGAGUAGCUGAA